rnacentral:rRNA from 1 species
AGCAGCCGCGGUAAUUCCAGCUCCAAUAGCGUAUAUUAAAAGUUGUUGCAGUUAAAAAGCUCGUAGUUGAAUUUCGGGGGUCAGUAGGUUGGUCAUGCCACAGGUAUGUACUGAUCUUACCGAUUCCUCCUUCCUGAUGAACCGUAAUGCCAUUAAUUUGGUGUUGCGGGGAAACUGGACUGUUACUUUGAAAAAAUUAGAGUGUUUAAAGCAGGCUAACGCUUGAAUACAUUAGCAUGGAAUAAUGAAAUAGGACGUUCGAUCCUAUUUUGUUGGUUUCUAGGAUUGACGUAAUGAUUAAUAGGGAUAGUUGGGGGCAUUAGUAUUCAAUUGUCAGAGGUGAAAUUCUUGGAUUUAUUGAAGACUAACUACUGCGAAAGCAUUUGCCAAGGAUGUUUUCAUUAAUCAAGACGAAAGUUAGGGAUCGAAGACGAUCAGAUACCGUCGUAGUCUUAACCAUAAACUAUGCCGACUAGGGAUCGGAAUGAUGUUUAAUUUUUUAANGUACUUCUAUUACGGC